GCCUAUUGCCAUGCCACCCUGAACAAACCUGAUCCCAUCUGAUCUCGGAAAGCUAAGCAGGGUCAGGCCUGGUUAGUACUUGGAUGGGAGACCACCUGGGAAGAUCAGGUGCUGUAGGUA
rnacentral:rRNA from 1 species